GAUGAAGAACGCAGCGAAAUGCGAUAACUAAUGUGAAUUGCAGAAUUCAGUGAAUCAUCGAAUCUUUGAACGCACAUUGCGCCCCCUGGUAUUCCGGGGGGCAUGCCUGUCCGAGCGUCAUUACAACCCUCAAGCUCAGCUUGGUGUUGGGCCCCGCCGCCCCGGCGGGCCCUAAAGUCAGUGGCGGUGCCGUCCGGCUCCGAGCGUAGUAAUUCUUCUCGCUCUGGAGGUCCGGUCGUGUGCUCGCCAGCAACCCCCAAUUUUUUUCAGGUUGACCUCGGAUCAGGUAGGGAUACCCGCUGAACUUAAGCAUAUCAAUAAGCGGAGGA
rnacentral:misc_RNA from 1 species